CCUAUUUACGGUAAAUAUUCAUCAUUCAAAAUCACGCCGUAAAAUUACUUAAUGUGUUUUACACUAAAUUUAUGGGGCUCAUUUUCAAUUAUUAAUGUGUAAGGUAAGGUUGAGUAGUUAUUCAAACAAAGGUAAAUACUUUACAAUUCACUUACAAGUUUCAGCUUUAAAGCUGUGCCAGAGGUUGAUCCAAACACUGCAUGAAAAGAGCUGUAUACGGACAAAUACGGGAUGGGAAAUCUCUGCUAAACUUUAGGUUUGCCAGAUUUUCGAGGCAGAGUGCUUGGAAAGGUAAUACACCAUAGUAAACUCGUUAAACAUCCAGAAACCUUACGUUUGUGGAUGUAUGUAGGAACUGGUGGAAGUUUCCAGGAAUCCUUACAGCUGGUUGUAAGGAGGGGUGGGUGUGAGGUGUGAAGGGCUUUUUAUAUGUUAAUGACCCACAGGUAGAGGUGUCUUCUUUGUUUUCAGAGCUGAGUGGGGUGGGAGGUUAACCAUGUCUCUUUAAGACAGCACAUACAGUAUUGUGGUACAUAAAAACUGUGUUUUCUAAAUACGUUUACCAUUAAUAUAAUUUAAUUAGUCUAUUUAAGAAACUAAGCAUAAUUCAAAAUAACUAAAAUUCAAUGAACACAAUUACCAUUUUAAUGUGUGAAAAUUAUGUCUCUGACUCAAGAGAAAUGCAACAAAUGUUAUUUCAGAAUAUAUAUUUACAACACUUUGAAAACAUGUCUCCAACUGCCCUAGGUCAGAAUAUUGUGCACGUAUCUCUCAAUGCUGCAUACAUCGUUUAAAAGAAGCCGUUCAAAUGACAUCAUGUAACACAUUUUUGCUAGCUAGGAUGUUGAUAAAUUGGAAACAAAAAUAUCAAUAGACAGGUCCAUAAUCUAAAAGACAGUCUUUCACAUAUGAAUGCAAAACAUGUUGGGUGAUACAGACUGACAAACUCGGGUAAACAUAUCUGCAGAUACCUGUCAGCUACUGUACUUUUAAUCCAGAGGUGCCCAAAGUUGGCCCACAAUAGACCUUUAAUUUGGUCCAUCAUGCCACGUGAGAUAAGGAAAAAGAAAACAAAAGUCAUUGAUGCAGAUGUUCGUAUUUUUUAUUAAACAUUUUCUAAAAUGUAUCAUUUUUUGUUGUAUUUUUACAUUACAAAAUGUAAAUUAAAAUUAAAUGCAAGGGAUUAAAGUAAAUUUUUUUAUGUUUCAUGCAUUCUUGAAGGUGUAUAAAAUGCAUCACGGAAAUUAAUGGACUCGGGUACUAUAGGCUAAAAAUGAAGAGGUUGCGGCAGUGGCACACAGAGAAAAGGAUAUUUAAAAUGAUUGGCAAAACGAUUUCUUUUUUCUACAAAAAGCCUUGGAAAAUAAAACUGCAUAAGUUAUGCAUAAACAGAGUAAUGUUUGCUUAUUUAUUUUUAAAAUUAUAAAUUAGGGGUUAUCAGGGCAACUUUAAUUUUAAUAUAACACAACAACAUUUACUUUUGGCCCACGGCCCUCAGUCAGGUUUGGCCCUUGUAAGGAAAAUGUUUGGGUACCAAUCAAUGUUCUAGUCUAUCUGAGGAGGUAACUUUUAGCAUAUGAUAAUGCAUUCUUGUACAAAGUUAGUCCACAUAUUAUAAUGUUUGUCUUCAAUCAAUCAAUUUAAAUAAAAGAGAUGUAGACUUUAUAAUAUAAUAAGGGUCAAUAUAUCACAGUGAAAAAAGACAUACAUGCAUUUUUACUUUAACAUGAACUUAUGCUGAGUUAAGGCAUGUACUAAUCAUAAACUAUUGAAGAGUCAUCAUUAACUACAACAUGACAUGUUUUUCAUUGUUAGUUAAUGCAAUCAUUUACAAUAAAUUAAUUAGGCUACAUGUCUUAACUCAGUAUUAGUUUAUAUUUACUUAUAUUUAAGUAAAAAUUCAUUUAGGUAUACGUUAAAUGUUUCCAAUGAUUAGUAUGGCAGUUAAUCCACUAAACCCAGACAUAAUUCCUGAGGCAUGUUUAUACAGAGUUUUGUAUUUCAUCAAGAAAGUGCUGAUUCACAAAGAUUUUAUAUUUAAGAAAAUCUGAGCAUCAUUCAAAAUAACUGUUAACAUGUUUUUCAACUAAACAUGCUUUAUCAACGUAAUAAACUUUAUAAAAACAUUUAUUUUUAUUUUUUUAUUAAUUAUCAAGUAUAAAGAACAAUGCAUAGUGUGAAAACGCGGAUCAUAAAAAAGUAUAUUAAGUGCGAGCAGAGGAUCAAGAAGAAACAACGCCAAAGGACUUCAUUUCCCAGGAUGCACCUGCACCCACUCAUCUGCCUUCAGGUGCGACCGCUUUACCUAUGGGCUUGACGGGAAGAUUCAAAAUCGCGAACCGUUACUGCAUGGAGUUGGUCUCUUUGUUUGCUCAUCGACAUUACGAGGUCAUGUACACUGUGGUCAACUUUGUGGACGAUGAAGAGGUUUCUAGGUAAAGAUGAUAGAAAUAUAAUGAAGUAACAGUGAAAGCUAAAACAUCAGACUGAUCCAGACACUGAAGAAAUUGAUGUCACUGCAAUCUGGCCAAAAUGAUACAACUAUAUUGAAGUAGCCUACUGUAAUGAAGCUGCAGAACAACACAGAGACUCUGAGGACAUCAACACAGAAAAUGAAGGCUCCAAAGAGAUGUCUGUCCAGAUGAGGGUGCAUCAACUUUACCUUUGCUGACAACAGUUAACUUAACUCAAACCAUUUAAGGAAAUCGGUUGCCUUAAACCAUUAAGUUUUAAAAAACAUACAUUUAACUACUGUGAACUUAAGUCUUGUGCAAUUAUGCACUUAUAUUUAGGUAGUGUGAACUUAAAUAUAAGUGCAUAACUGCAUGUGACUCAAUUUUUUUAAGUUCACAGUACUCAAAUCUAUGUGUUUUAAAACUUCAAUGGUUUUAAAUGUGAGAAAUGACAGUGUUACAGUGAGAAAUGUUUGAAUAAUUCCAAGACAGAGCUCUGCUAUUGAAUCUACACUGCAAAAAAUCACUUUCUAACUUAGGAUUUUUAUCUUGUCUCAGUAGAAAAACUAAAAAUUCUUAAAUCAAGAUGUAU